rnacentral:rRNA from 1 species
GACGAACGCUGGCGGCGUGCUUAACACAUGCAAGUCGAGCGGAGCGGCGAACGGGUGAGUAACGCGUGAGUAACUGCCCCCCUCUCCGGGAUAACAGUUGGAAACGGCUGCUAAUACUGGAUAGUGGGGGAUGACUCGCGUCCUAGCACCUUGUUGGUGGGGUAGUGGGCUACCAAGGCGACGACGGGUAGCCGGCCUGAGAGGGCGACCGGCCACAUUGGGCUGAGAUACAGCCCAAACACCUGUGGGGGGCAGCAGUGGGGAAUAGUGAGCAAUGGGGGGAACCCUGAUGCAGCAGCGCCGCGUGCGGGAUGACGGCCUUCGGGUUGUAAUCCGCUAUCAGCCAUGACUCGGUAGUGGCAGAAGAAGCGCCGGCUAACUACGUGCCAGCAGCCGCGGUAAUUC